rnacentral:sRNA from 1 species
AGCAAAGAUCAAAUGCUAUGUGGAGACCUACUUUUCUCCGGUCACACACUUGUGAUGGUCACCUGCUCUUUGGCCGUCGCCUAUUACCUCCCAAAAUCGAUAAAACCACUGCAAUGGGUGAGCCACGUGGCAUGUUUGAUUGGGAUGAUAUGUAUGACGAUAUCACGGACUCAUUAUACAAUUGAUGUGGUUAUUGCAUAUUGGUUGAGCAAUAUGGUUUUUAGG